GAUGAACGCUGGCGGCGCGCCUAACACAUGCAAGUCGAACGAUUAAAGCACCUUCGGGUGUGUAUAAAGUGGCGAACGGCUGAGUAACACGUGGGCAACCUGCCCCUUUCAUUGGGAUAGCCACGGGAAACCGUGGAUAAUACCGAAUACUUCGAGACUUCCGCAUGGAAGACUCGAGUAAGCUCCGGCGGAGAGGGAUGGGCCCGCGGCCUGUUAGCUUGUUGGUGGGGUAACGGCCUACCAAGGCAAUGAUGGGUAGCUGGGUUGAGAGACCGACCAGGCAGAUGGGGACUGAGACACGGCCCAGACUCCUACGGGAGGCAGCAGUGGGGAAUCUUGCACAAUGGGCGAAAGCCUGAUGCAGCGACGCCGCGUGCGGGAUGAAGGCCUUCGGGUUGUAAACCGCUUUCAGCAGGGACGAGGCGAAAGUGACGGUACCUGCAGAAGAAGCCCCGGCUAACUACGUG
rnacentral:rRNA from 1 species